CCUAAAAAACUAGGUCUCAGUUCAGAUUGCAGGCUGCAACCCGCCUGCAUGAAGUCGGAAUUGCUAGUAAUCGCGGAUCAGCAUGCCGCGGUGAAUACGUUCCCGGGCCUUGUACACACCGCCCGUCACACCAUGAGAGUCGGGAACACCCGAAGUCCGUAGCCUAACCGCAAGGAGGGCGCGGCCGAAGGUGGGUUCGAUAAUUGGGGUGAAGUCGUAACAAGGUAUC
rnacentral:rRNA from 1 species